rnacentral:rRNA from 1 species
CCUAUCAUGCAGUCGAACGCUUCUUUCCUCCCGAGUGCUUGCACUCAAUUGGAAAGAGGAGGGAGGACGGGUGAGUAACACGUGGGUAACCUACCCAUCAGAGGGGGAUAACACUUGGAAACAGGUGCUAAUACCGCAUAACAGUUUAUGCCGCAUGGCAUAAGAGUGAAAGGCGCUUUCGGGUGUCGCUGAUGGAUGGACCCGCGGUGCAUUAGCUAGUUGGUGAGGUAACGGCUCACCAAGGCCACGAUGCAUAGCCGACCUGAGAGGGUGAUCGGCCACACUGGGACUGAGACACGGCCCAGACUCCUACGGGAGGCAGCAGUAGGGAAUCUUCGGCAAUGGACGAAAGUCUGACCGAGCAACGCCGCGUGAGUGAAGAAGGUUUUCGGAUCGUAAAACUCUGUUGUUAGAGAAGAACAAGGACGUUAGUAACUGAACGUCCCCUGACGGUAUCUAACCAGAAAGCCACGGCUAACUACGUGCCAGCAGCCGCGGUAAUACGUAGGUGGCAAGCGUUGUCCGGAUUUAUUGGGCGUAAAGCGAGCGCAGGCGGUUUCUUAAGUCUGAUGUGAAAGCCCCCGGCUCAACCGGGGAGGGUCAUUGGAAACUGGGAGACUUGAGUGCAGAAGAGGAGAGUGGAAUUCCAUGUGUAGCGGUGAAAUGCGUAGAUAUA